CCUACGGGAGGCAGCAGUGGGGAAUAUUGGGCAAUGGGCGCAAGCCUGACCCAGCAACGCCGCGUGAAGGAAGAAGGCUUUCGGGUUGUAAACUUCUUUUUUCAGGGACGAAGCAAGUGACGGUACCUGACGAAUAAGCCACGGCUAACUACGUGCCAGCAGCCGCGGUAAUACGUAGGUGGCAAGCGUUAUCCGGAUUUACUGGGUGUAAAGGGCGUGUAGGCGGGGAAGCAAGUCAGCUGUGAAAACCACGGGCUCAACCUGUGGCCUGCAUUUGAAACUGUUUUUCUUGAGUACUGGAGAGGCAGACGGAAUUCCUAGUGGAGCGGUGAAAUGCGGAGAUAUUAGGAGGAACACCAGUGGCGAAGGCAGUAUGCUGGACAGCAACUGACGCUGAGGCGCGAAAGCGUGGGGAGCAAACAGGAUUAGAUACCCUUGUAGUC
rnacentral:rRNA from 1 species